rnacentral:rRNA from 1 species
CCCUUAGAUGUCCGGGGCUGCACGCGCGCUACACUGAAGGAAUCAGCGUGCUAAAACCAUUGUCGAAAGGCGUUGGUAAACCCAUUAAAAUCCUACGUGAUUGGGAUCGGGAAUUGCAAUUAUUUCCCUUGAACGAGGAAUUCCCAGUAAGUGUGGGUCAUAAGCUCGCGUUGAUUACGUCCCUGCCCUUUGUACACACCGCCCGUCGCUGCCCGGGACUGAGCCGUUUCGAGAAAAGCGGGGACUGCUGCUGUCGGGGCUUUCGGGCCUUGGCUUCGGUGGAAACCGCUUUAAUCGCANUNGCUUGGNCCGGGCAAAANUCGUANCA